ensembl:lncRNA
UGCCUUGGGGGUUCCCGGACCCCCCACUCCCGCUGUGCCUUCCCCUUUAAAUAGGCAAAUGAGAUGCCAUAUGCCCCGCCCCCCCGGGAGGGUGUGGCCGAGGGGAGGCGGGGCUUCAGGGCACGUGGAUGUUGGGGACCCCCAUGGGCUGGGGGGUCCCCUGGUGGUGGGGCGAACCCAGUGCCUCCCCCCCCCCGCCACUGCUGCCUGCCCCAUAGCCUGCCCCACAGCCGCCAGCCCCAUAACCUGCCCCGCCGCAGCCUGCCCCACAACCUGCCCCCAUACCCGCUGCAGCCCCUCGCCAGCCCCACGGAGGGGAGAGCCUGGGGGGCAGCCCCCACCCCAGCUCCUGCCCAGCCCCCAGCACCGGACGGGGCCCCUUAAAAAUAAAGCCCCACUUUUAUUUUUGUAGGACCUACCCAAAUGCUGUGCAUGCACCAUGGGCCCAGCCCAGCUCCCCCCUCCGCUGGGGAGGGUCCCAAAAGCCUUAACCCCACUGUGUGUGUGUGUGGGGGGGGGGUGUCUCACCCUGCCAUGGGGCCUCCCCGGCCCCCCAGCCCUGCCCCGAGGACCGCGGUGGCCCCCACCCUGGGGAAGGGCCCCCCCCCGCCCACCCGUGCUGGGCUUGUACCGGGACUGCCGCAUUAAAGAGCAUCAUGGGGGGCCGGCGUGAGCCCCCCCGGUACCGCCAGACCUCGUCACCUGUGGCCGGAGCAUCCAGGCACCCGGCAGAGGACCCCCCACCUCGGCCGGAGGGGGCUCGGGACACCCUGACACUCGACCACCUGGCCCCGGUGAUUUCGGCCGUGCCAAACUCGCCCAUCGGCCGCUCCUGCAGGUGCCCGAACUGCAGCGUGCUCUUCCUGGGGGACGGUGGGGACCCCCCACCCGUGGGCCCGGGCGAAACGGGGGGCCCCGUGGCACGGAGCCGGGGAGCGGAGGGGCCUGGCCGGCUGCCGGGGGUGCUCCUGCGCCAGGCAGCUCCCAGGGCAGCGGGGAGGAAUCUGGCAGCUCGGCCCCUCUGCGGCAUCCCAGAGUCACCCGGGAAAUGGGGGGGGCACAGCCUGAGGGGGCAGCCGAAGCCAGGGAAGUGGGGACGGUCCAGCCAUCCCCGGCUCCUGGGACACAAAGUGGGGUUUGUCCCACCCCACGGCUCCACUGUGGCUCCUCCACUGUGGCUGGAUGGGGGGGGCAAGAGCCCCCCCGUGCCCCCAUCACUGCCAGGAGGGGUCCAGCCAGCCCCUGCCCACCCCACAGCAUCCCCGUCCCCCAGGCAGCAGCAGGCAGGGGAUGGGUGUUGUGUCCCCCCCUCCAGGGAAAGGCAGAACCAGAACGGAGCUCCCGGCACCGGGUCACUACUGCAAUUUUAUUAUUGCAUGAUUUUUAAAAAUAAAGGAAGAGAGAGGCUGUAACACAGAACACAAGGGGCCAGGGAAGAUCGAAGGGGGGGGGGGAGAAGUCGCUGCCCCACCCUGGACGCAGCACAACCCCGCCCCAAAUAAUAUUAAAAAAAAAAAGAAAAAAAAAAAAAAAAGGAGCAAGGUAUUCGAGAGUCGCCGGGUUUCUAACACGGAUAGCUGGGAACAACUGUUCUGAAAAAGACCCCCCACGACGGCACCCGCCCACACCGAAUCCCCAGGGCUGGGCGCUUCGUCCCGGCAGCCUGCACGCUGGGGACGCUGCCCGCGCCCCC